GUGUGUGCUGUUAGAUCGCAAAUGGAUAGAGACUGUUUGAGAAAAAGAGACUUUUAUUUUGAAAAAGGAAAUUGAGACUUUCCAGUCCUCAUGCCAGAAAUCAGGAAGUGCAGAGUUAUUUUCAAGCACAUGCAGUGAGAGGCUGUGAAGCACAUGUUGUGAGCUGCUGUUGAAAAUAGAUGAAGUGGGGAAGGACUUUACUUGCUGGGCAUUUCCAGGGAUGCUACUGGUUUUCAACCUAACCAAAUGAAAAACUUCUGAUUAUUUGCCUAACUACAAAUUUUGAACAUGGAAAACUGUCUAAAUAAAGCAAAGAAGAAGGA